rnacentral:tRNA from 1 species
GCUAAUGUAGCUUAAACAAAGCAUGACACUGAAGAUGUUAAGAUGGGUCUUAGAACGGCCCCAUAAGCA